CUUACCUUUUCUUUUUAUUGGACCAUUAUGAGAGGAUUAGGAUAAAGGGGGAAUGAAUUGGAGAAGAGAGCAGAUGCUCUUGGGCUGCUGAAUUUUAGAGAGAGAGAGAGAGGCGUGAUCUAGAGAGAGAAGGAGAAGAAGAAAGAAAGGAAGAAGAAGAAGAAGAGAUCAAGCUAGGGGUAUUCAAGAGAGGUUGCCUUUUGGGUGUUUGUUCUUGUGUUCUCUCAAUGAAGAUUUCGAGCCAUAGUAAAUAUGACCUCGAAAGCUGAGUUCGCAACAAGUGGUCUCGUGAGGAUUAGAGUGAUCUAGGAUCGUAAGUCGAACCUGCAAGGUAUGAUGUAUGAUCUCGAAUGCGGUGAUCUCGAAAUGACCUCGAUCUCGAAAGGUAGCUCUGAGAACACCUUCAUCUUCAGGAACUUCGGAGCAUGGUUCUUGAGCUCGAUAUCCCAUCUCGAAAGAAACGUUAGCUCGAGAGAUGUCAGUGGCUCGCACAAUGACAUGAGACCAGAAAUGCUGGAGCCUUGAAGAUAUGCUAUAACCACCUUGAAUAUCUACAAGUAUUAUAACUAUGAGAUGUAAUCCUCAUUAAUUGAUGUAAAUCCCCAAGAAUCGUGGGAUAUUAUUUAGUCAGUUAUGCGUUCCCUGGUCAUCAGGGACGUUUCCUUUUUUAUCUGAUUAAAAGCAUUUAAAGCCAUUUAUUUUUAUUGACAAAAGAGUAACUACCCAAAAUAUGUGGGAUAGUAUUCUGCAUCCUUCUCUAUAAAUAGAGAAGCCAUGCACCAUUGUAAAGACCGAAAAUCUGAUCCUGGAGAGAAAACUCUGUAGAAUUCUUGCUAAAGAAUUGUUCAGAGAUAAUCUUGAGGUUAAUAACAGAGACUCGUGGACUAGGCAGAUUU